UGGGGUGUAGCCAAGCGGUAAGGCAGCGGACUCUGAAUUCGCCAUUCGCUGGUUCGAUCCCAGCCACCCCAGCCA
rnacentral:tRNA from 1 species